CUCAGUCGGUAGAGCAGAGGACUGAAAAUCCUCGUGUCGGCGGUUCGAUUCCGUCCCGAGCCA
rnacentral:tRNA from 1 species